GACGAACGCUGGCGGCGUGCUUAACACAUGCAAGUCGAACGGAGUGGCGAACGGGUGAGUAACACGCGGGUGACCUGCCCUGCACUUCGGGAUAAGCCUGGGAAACAGGGGCUAAUACCGGGUAGUGUGGGAUGGGCCCGCGGCCUAUCAGCUUGUUGGUGGGGCAAUGGCCUACCAAGGCGGCGACGGGUAGCCGGCCUGAGAGGGUGGACAGCCACAUUGGGACUGAGGCACGGCCCAGACGGGUACGGGAGGCAGCAGGGGGGAAUAUUGCACAAUGGGCCGAAGCCUGAUGCAGCGACGCCGGGUGGGUGAUGACGGCCUUCGGGUUGUAAACUCCUUUAACCAUCGACGCGGUAGAUGGAGAAGAAGCACCGGCUAACUACGUGCCAGCAGCCGCGGUAAUAC
rnacentral:rRNA from 1 species